rnacentral:rRNA from 1 species
AUACGUAAGGCGCGAGCGUUGUCCGGAAUUACUGGGUGUAAAGGGAGCGUAGGCGGGAGUGCAAGUCAGAUGUGAAAUACAUGGGCUCAACCCAUGGGCUGCAUUUGAAACUGCAUUUCUUGAGUGAAGUAGAGGUAAGCGGAAUUCCUGGUGUAGCGGUGAAAUGCGUAGAUAUCAGGAGGAACACCGGUGGCGAAGGCGGCUUACUGGGCUUUUACUGACGCUGAGGCUCGAAAGCGUGGGGAGCAAACAGGAUUAGAUACCCUGGUAGUCCACGCUGUAAACGAUGAUUACUAGGUGUGGGGGGACUGACCCCUUCCGUGCCGCAGUUAACACAAUAAGUAAUCCACCUGGGGAGUACGGCCGCAAGGUUGAAACUCAAAUGAAUUGACGGGG